UACGAAGGGGGCUAGCGUUGCUCGGAAUGACUGGGCGUAAAGGGCGCGUAGGCGGAUUGUACAGUCAGGCGUGAAAUUCCCGGGCUCAACCUGGGGGCUGCGCUUGAGACGUGCGAUCUUGAGUGGGGAAGAGGGUCGUGGAAUUCCCAGUGUAGAGGUGAAAUUCGUAGAUAUUGGGAAGAACACCGGUGGCGAAGGCGGCGACCUGGGCCUUGACUGACGCUGGGGCGCGAAAGCGUGGGGAGCAAACAGG
rnacentral:rRNA from 1 species